AGUGAACGCUGGCGGCAGGCCUAACACAUGCAAGUCGAACGGCAGCACAAGAGAGCUUGCUCUCUGGGUGGCGAGUGGCGGACGGGUGAGGAAUGCAUCGGAAUCUGCCCAUUUGUGGGGGAUAACCUCGGGAAACCGGGACUAAUACCGCAUACUACCUACGGGUGAAAGCAGGGGAUCUUCGGACCUUGCGCAGAUGGAUGAGCCGAUGCCGGAUUAGCUAGUUGGAGGGGUAAAGGCCCACCAAGGCGACGAUCCGUAGCUGGUCUGAGAGGAUGAUCAGCCACACUGGGACUGAGACACGGCCCAGACUCCUACGGGAGGCAGCAGUGGGGAAUAUUGGACAAUGGGCGCAAGCCUGAUCCAGCCAUGCCGCGUGUGUGAAGAAGGCCUUCGGGUUGUAAAGCACUUUUGUUGGGAAAGAAAAGCAGCCGGUUAAUACCCGGUUGUCAUGACGGUACCCAAAGAAUAAGCACCGGCUAACUUCGUG
rnacentral:rRNA from 1 species